GGUAAAAAAGCUCGUAGUUGGAUUUCUGUUGAGGACGACCGGUCCAUACCAUGUAUGCGCAUCUGGUUCGGCCUCGGCAUCCUCUCGUUUUGGGUUUCUGUGCUUGAUUGCAUGGAGCUUAUAGCGGGACUUUUACUUUGAGGAAAUUAGAGUGUUCACGGCAGGCUAUCGCCAGAAUACAUUAGCAUGGAAUAAUAUUAUAGGAUCGAGAUUCUAUUUUGUUGGUUUCUAGAAUUUUGAUAAUGAUUAAUAGGGACAAUUGGGGGCAUUCGUAUCAACACGUCAGAGGUGGAAUUCUUGGAUUGUGUUGCGACGAACUACUGCGAAAGCAUUUGCCAAGGAUGUUUUCAUUGAUCAAGAACGAAAGUAAGGGGAUCGAAGACGAUUAGAUACCGUCGUAGUCUUUACCAUAAACUAUGCCAACUAGAGAUGGGACAUCGUUCACUUACGACUUGUUCCGCACCUUAUGAGAUAUCAAAGUCUUUGGGUUCCGGGGGGAGUAUGGUCGCAAGGCUGAAACUUAAAGGAAUUGACGGAAGGGCACCACCAGGAGUGGAGCCUGCGGCUUAAUUUGACUCAACACGGGGAAACUCACCAGGUCCAGACAUAAUAAGGGUUGACAGAUUGAUAGCUCUUUCUUGAUUUUAUGGGUGGUGGUGCAUGGCCGUUCUUAGUUCGUGGAGUGAUUUGUCUGCUUAAUUGCGUUAACG
rnacentral:rRNA from 1 species